AACCUAGUACGAGAGGAACCG
rnacentral:snRNA from 1 species